rnacentral:rRNA from 1 species
UACGUAGGGGGCAAGCGUUGUCCGGAUUUAUUGGGCGUAAAGAGCGUGUAGGCGGCCAGACAGGUCCGUUGUGAAAACUCGAGGCUACCAUCAGACGCCGAUGGAAACCGUCUGGCUAGAGUCCGGAAGAGGAGAGUGGAAUUCCUGGUGUAGCGGUGGAAAUGACGCAGAUAUCAGGAAGAACACCCGUGGCUAAGGCGGCUCUCUAGUACGGUACUGACGCUGAGACGCGAAAGCGUGGGGAGCGAACAGG